UACGGGGGGGGGGCAAGCGUUGUUCGGAAUUACUGGGCGUAAAGGGCUCGUAGGCGGCCAACUAAGUCAUACGUGAAAUCCCUCGGCUUAACCGGGGAACUGCGUCUGAUACUGGAUGGCUUGAGUUCGGGAGAGGGAUGCGGAAUUCCAGGUGUUAGCGGUGGAAAUGCGUAGAAUAUCUGGAGGAACACCGGUGGCGAAGGCGGCAU
rnacentral:rRNA from 1 species